rnacentral:rRNA from 1 species
UAGCGUAUAUUAAAGUUGUUGCAGUUAAAAAGCUCGUAGUCGAAUUUCAGGGCGGGGCGCACGGUCUGCCGAUGGGUAUGCACUGUGCGGCCCGCCUUUCUUGCUGGGGUCCGCGUGUGCACUUAACUGUGCGUGCGCGGGGAACAGCGCGUUUACUUUGAGAAAAUCAGAGUGUUCAAAGCAGGCCAAGAUUGCUCUUGCAUGGAUUAGCAUGGGAUAAUGAAAUAGGACUUUGGUGCUAUUUUGUUGGUUUCGAGUACCGAAGUAAUGAUUAAUAGGGAUAGUCAGGGGCACUUGUAUUCCGUUGAGAGAGGUGAAAUUCUUAGACCAAUGGAAGACAAACUACUGCGAAAGCAUUUG